AUUCAGAAUGUAGGUAACAGGAGAUGAGUUGGAGGGUGAAUAAUGGGCUACGCUGUUCCCGCAAAAUGUAACAUGUUUUCUGAUGGUUUUCUGUUAACAUUACACUUACUGCAUGUAAUAUGAGAGAGUUCUCUAUACUUACUGUAUUAGGUCAAGACUUAGAAGUAAGUACUUAUUAUUUAAAAAAAAAAAUAUUUAUGUUACAAUAAAAUA